UACGGGAGGCAGCAGUGGGGAAUAUUGCACAAUGGGCGAAAGCCUGAUGCAGCUAUGCCGCGUGUAUGAAGAAGGCCUUAGGGUUGUAAAGUACUUUCAUCGGGGAGGAAAAACAAAACUAAUAAUUUUAUUUCUUGACGUUACCCGAAAAAGAAGCACCGGCUAACUCCGUGCCAGCAGCCGCGGUAAUACGGAGGGUGCUAGCGUUAAUCAGAAUUACUGGGCGUAAAGAGCACGUAGGUGGUUUUUUUAAGUCAGAUGUGAAAUCCCUGGGCUUAACCUAGGAACUGCAUUUUGAAACUGAAAUACUAGAGUAUCGUAGAGGGAGGUAGAAUUCUAGGUGUAGCGGUGAAAUGCGUAGAUAUCUGGAGGAAUACCUGUGGCGAAAGCGGCCUCCUAAACGAAUACUGACACUGAGGUGCGAAAGCGUGGGGAGCAAACAGGGAUUAGAUACCC
rnacentral:rRNA from 1 species